GAUGAACGCUGGCGGCGUGCCUAAUACAUGCAAGUCGAGCGAACGGACGCGACGCUUGCUUCUCUGAUGUUAGCGGCGGACGGGUGAGUAACACGUGGAUAACCUACCUAUAAGACUGGGAUAACUUCGGGAAACCGUAGCUAAUACCGGAUAAUAUUUUGAACCGCAUGGUUCAAAAGUGAAAGACGGUCUUGCUGUCACUUAUAGAUGGAUCCGCGCUGCAUUAGCUAGUUGGUAAGGUAACGGCUUACCAAGGCAACGAUGCAUAGCCGACCUGAGAGGGGGAUCGGCCGCACUGGAACGGAGACACGGUCCAGGCUCCUACGGUAGGCAGCAGAAGGGAAUCUGCCGCAAUGGGCGAAAGCCUGACGGAGCAACGCCACGUGAGUGAUGAAGGUCUUCGGAUCGUAAAACUCUGUUAUUAGGGAAGAACAGAUGUGUAAGUAACUGUGCACAUCUUGACGGUACCUAAUCAGAAAGCCACGGCUAACUACGUG
rnacentral:rRNA from 1 species